rnacentral:snRNA from 1 species
GUGCUCGCUUCAGCAACGCACACCCUAAACUUGGAACGAUACAGAGAAGAUUAGUGCCCCCCCCAGUCCCCAUGCAAGGAUGACAUGCAAAUUUGUUCCAUAUUUUA